rnacentral:rRNA from 1 species
AUGGCUCAGUGAGCGGCGGAGGGUUAGUACGCGUGGGAUAUGCCCAGUUCUAAGGAAUAGCCUCGGGAAACUGAGAGUAAUACCUUAUACGCCCUUCGGGGGAAAGAUUUAUCGGAAUUGGAUUAGCCCGCGUUAGAUUAGGUAGUUGGUGGGGUAAUGGCCUACCAAGCCUACGAUCUAUAGCUGGUUUGAGAGGAUGAUCAGCAACACUGGGACUGAGACACGGCCCAGACUCCUACGGGAGGCAGCAGUGGGGAAUCUUCGGCAAUGGGCGCAAGCCUGACCGAGCCAUGCCGCGUGAGUGAUGAAGGCCUUAGGGUCGUAAAGCUCUUUCGCCAGGGAUGAUAAUGACAGUACCUGGUAAAGAAACCCCGGCUAACUCCGUGCCAGCAGCCGCGGUAAUACGGAGGGGGUUAGCGUUGUUCGGAAUUACUGGGCGUAAAGCGCGCGUAGGCGGAUUAGUAAGUCAGAGGUGAAAUCCCGGGGCUCAACCCCGGAACUGCCUUUGAUACUGCUAGUCUAGAGUUCGAGAGAGGUGAGUGGAAUUCCGAGUGUAGAGGUGAAAUUCGUAGAUAUUCGGAGGAACACCAGUGGCGAAGGCGGCUCACUGGCUCGAUACUGACGCUGAGGUGCGAAAGUGUGGGGAGCAA